GCAGCGCCCCCCCGCGGCCCGAGGCUCCCCCCGCGCCGCCCCCGCGCCCCGAGCACUGGGGGGGGGCCGUGGGAAACGCGCCCCGCUUCGGGCCCCGGGAUGCUCGAAGCAGAAAGGAGGAGCUGGUCCCCAAAAAGGGGAGCCCGCAAGGGAAAACCAGCCUCUGUAUGCUGUCACCUCGGGUCUGGAAUCCAGGCACAGUCCUCCAGGCAGAUGCACGCAGAGCUACUCAGGAAGAGGAUGCCAGCCAGAUGCCACAUGGCCUUCUCCUGCCCAGAAGCCCCUACGACAGCUCUUGGAGACACCAGGAGAAGAGCCAGGACUUCAGGACAUGCAUUCAGAGGCGUGAAAUUACAUGUAACUGGAAGACUGGGGAGACCUGGGCAGGAAUAUCCGUGGUCUGCAUCCCAAAUCAAACCUAGCCCUUUGGCAGCUGGGAUCCAGAUCAGUGAGCAUCCCCGAAAAAUAUCCUUGCCCGGUGCCCACCUGAUCAGGCUGAUGUUAUGGUCUCAUGUGGCAGGGCAGUCGUAUCACAGGGUGUAUCCUUAUUUCCCAGGAAUGCGAUAGCUUCCUUAUUUCUGCCUGUGCUCAAACACGCUGUGCUUGCAUCUGUCUGCAGUUUAAAGUGCCAAGUACAUCCCUGUGGCACCAUCAGUCUGUCUUCUAUCCUUAAAGGACCUUCGUUUAGAGUUUGUUCUUCCCUGCUGAAAAAAAAAGUAGCUGUAUUUCCCACCCUCAUCCCCACCAUCACUACCGUGUGGACUAAAUACUUGAAUACAUGGACUCUUGAACUAUAAAGACAAUGGAGAUGAAGCAUCUCAGUGGGUGAAGUGGCUGAGAGCAUCCCUCUGGCCGGCACGAAGGAGGACCCUGAU